GAUGAACGCUGGCGGCGUGCCUAAUACAUGCAAGUCGAGCGAACAGACGAGGAGCUUGCUCCUCUGACGUUAGCGGCGGACGGGUGAGUAACACGUGGAUAACCUACCUAUCAGACUGGGAUAACUUCGGGAAACCGGAGCUAAUACCGGAUAAUAUAUUGAACCGCAUGGUUCAAUAGUGAAAGACGGUUUUGCUGUCACUUAUAGAUGGAUCCGCGCCGCAUUAGCUAGUUGGUAAGGUAACGGCUUACCAAGGCAACGAUGCGUAGCCGACCUGAGAGGGUGAUCGGCCACACUGGAGCUGAGACACGGUCCAGACUCCUACGGGAGGCAGCAGUAGGGAAUCUUCCGCAAGGGGCGAAAGCCUGACGGAGCAACGCAGCGUGAGUGAUGAAGGGCUGCGGAUCGUAAAACGCUGUUAUUAGGGAAGAACAAAUGUGUAAGUAACUAUGCACGUCUUGACGGUACCUAAACAGAAAGCCACGGCUAACUACGU
rnacentral:rRNA from 1 species